UACAGAGGUGGCAAGCGUUGUUCGGAAUUACUGGGCGUAAAGGGCGCGUAGGCGGCCUUCUAAGUCAGACGUGAAAUCCCCCGGCUUAACCUGGGAACUGCGUCUGAUACUGGGAGGCUUGAGUAUGGGAGAGGGAUGUAGAAUUCCAGGUGUAGCGGUGAAAUGCGUAGAUAUCUGGAGGAAUACCGGUGGCGAAGGCGGCGAUCUGGACGAUGACUGACGCUGAGACGCGAAAGCGUGGGGAGCAAAAGGG
rnacentral:rRNA from 1 species